rnacentral:misc_RNA from 1 species
ACCGCGGUGCUCUUUGGCGACGGGGCAGGCGCGGUGGUCCUCGAGCGCGGUUCCGGCGAGUCCGGUUUUGUUGACCACAUCCUCGGCGCAGACGGCCGGAUGGCACCCCUGGGGCGAGCCGGACACCCGGGCACGCAGCACAAGCUCUACCAGAACGGCCGCGAAGUCUUCAAGUUUGCCGCGAGGAUCUUUCCAGAGAUGACCGAGAAACUCCUCGCCCGCAACGGCGUCUCCCCCGAAGAAGUCCAAUACGUGAUUCCCCACCAAGCAAACGCACGCAUAAUACACGCGGCGAUGAGGAGGAUGGAGAUACCGGAGGAGAGGGUCGUGAUAAACCUAACCCGGUUCGGCAACACUUCGGCGGCUAGCAUCCCGAUCUCCUACCCGGACAUCUUCGACAGUUUCGAGUCGGGGCGUUACGUUGUUACGGUCGGUUUCGGGUUCGGGUUGACCUGGGCGGCGAACCUGUACA